UCCGUAGGCGGGCUAAUAAGUCAAGGGUGAAAUCCCACAGCUCAACUGUGGAACUGCCUUUGAUACUGUUAGUCUUGAGUUAUAUGGAAGUAGAUAGAAUGUGUAGUGUAGCGGUGAAAUGCAUAGAGAUUACACAGAAUACCGAUUGCGAAGGCAGUCUACUACGUAUAUACUGACGCUAAUGGACGAAAGCGUGGGGAGCGAACAGGAUUAGAUACCCUGGUAGUCC
rnacentral:rRNA from 1 species